UACGUAGGGUGCGAGCGUUGUCCGGAAUCAUUGGGCGUAAAGAGCUUGUAGGCGGUUUGUCGCGUCUGCCGUGAAAAUUCGAGGCUCAACCUCGAACUUGCGGUGGGUACGGGCAGACUAGAGUGUGGUAGGGGAGACUGGAAUUCCUGGUGUAGCGGUGAAAUGCGCAGAUAUCAGGAGGAACACCGAUGGCGAAGGCAGGUCUCUGGGCCACUACUGACGCUGAGAAGCGAAAGCAUGGGGAGCGAACAGG
rnacentral:rRNA from 1 species